rnacentral:lncRNA from 1 species
AUUAAGCAAGAGGUCAACACCACCAAGGACAAUUCCAAAAGCUCAAUCACCACCAUCUAAUCAUUCUCCUGUUGACUCUCCACUGUCAACUGAUCACUCUUCUCUCAGUCACGGCUUCUCUCCACCACAACCAACAUCUAAACUUUCUGAUCCCAACUUCAAGCCACCAUCUUUGGUAGUUUCGACGGUGGAGUUCACAUCUAGAGAUCAGUCAACUACUACCACUACUACUACUGUUGAAGUUGAAGAGCAAAGCCAAAAACUUGGUUCUGGUAGUGGUAAAAGAUUGAGGCCUGAUUUGUCCAUAUUAAGAAGAACCAAGAGAGAUAAGAUGGUGAAAAAGGCUUUGUUGGGGUUUAGGAUUUCUGGGUUUGUUUUUUGUUUGGUUUCCUUUUCUGUAUUAGCUGCGGAUAG